UACAGCACAGAAGUCAAGAGAAAUGAACAGGAUUCGUACCAAUGUUUUACUAUAAAACAAUCUGCUCUUUUCAGUCUUGGAUGCACAUUGACAAGAAAUUCACCUGCAGCCAUGUCUAUCAGACACUUGCUAGUGUUCUUCUUAGUUGUGGCACUCAUCACCUAUUCAAAAGCUCGACCUGAGCCAAAUACGGAUUCCGAAAAUUCACAUGAAUUUUCAGCAUCUGAUGAUGAACUGUGGCUAGAUCCUUCAAAAGAAGGGUCUAAUGAUGAGCAGUUUAAUCUUGAUUCAUCAGAGCCACCAGCCGCAGAUGCACCGAGACCACAACACCACCACCACCACGGCCACCGCCAUCAUGGUCACAAACACCACGGCCACCGCCAUCAUGGUCACAAACACCACGGCCACAAAGGCCACCCUCCAAAACCUUCACCAUCACCCGUAACAACACCAGUGCCUCCAUCAGUACAAGGACCAACAGGUCCAUCACCCUGGGGGGUCCAGCCACCGACUCCGGUGGCAGGACCAUCUCCUUAUGCAGCAAUAGCAAAUCCGCCGGCGGGAGCACCGUCAUCACAAGGACCAGCAGAAUCAUUCAUUUUCGGAUGAUCAAAUAUUUAGCGCUGUAACUGUACAACGUUGUUCUCAUGUCUAAAUAAAUUCUAGUCUCAAAAUAACAGAGAACUUUUUUGACCAGACAGGUUUUACUAUGAAUUCUAAAUUUGCAUGGGAAAAUUUUUUUAUUUCAAGAUUCAAUUUGUUGAAGUGUUGAACCGCAUAUUUAUCGAUUAAGGUGUCAUUUCCCGUUGGACAGAGGAUCGCGGCUCGUAGGUUGAGGAUGUAUCUUAAGUUUGAUCAACAUAUAGUUAUUAGAAUUUGGGGUCCGUGGGAGUUGAAAUUGGCAACAAGGGUUUUAACAAUUAAUCGCAAAUGGUCCGUAAUGAAUUGUUCAAUCCAUUGACGAUUUGAAUUGGUCCAAUUUGAAAUCUGUACUUCUCUUGCAAGUCAUAUCUUCUUGCAGUUGCAGAAUUGUUUCUUUGGGAUUCGUAGUUUAAUUAUGCAUUUGUUUUCAAAUCACAAUAAGCAAAUACUGCUUUAACAUGUAAUCACGAUACGAGGAAUGAAAUCGAUAAGUAAGCGAGGCUCAAAUCCGUGAUUAACUAUAAAUCCGUGCAAAUCUUUGAGAAAAAGAGAUGGAAAAACUGACGGACCAAAUCUUAACUUAGAAAAUAUCAAACGUAGAAUUUUUGGAUGUUAAUUUCAUCUGAAUGCAGACUAAAUUACACCAUCAACGAAGACAACACCAUUAUAUAACUUCCACUUGUAUAACACAUCACGCUUAUGUUUAAAGUUUUCGGGGAAGGAGGAGGAGUUGACCUGACCCGCGUAAAUGUGUCUAAUAAUUGGUCAAAUAUUACAUCUAAUGUAGUGAUUUUUCAAUAGGUAAUGUAGUGUCACUUCAAUUGAGGAUUAUUAUUUUAUUCUCUCUCUUUUUCAUGCACACGCACGCACACACACACAUAUAUAUAUGUAUAUGUGCGCGCGUGCGUGCGCCUAUAUAUAUAUAUAUAAACACAGACAUAUAUAUUAAAAAAAGAUGCAUAAAAUAUUUUCUAACCUAAGGUAGAUUGGCUAAACUUUUUUUUUUACAAAAUGCAAUAAUAUUUUAAAAAAAAACACAAAAAUAGUUCACGGGAAAGUAGAAUAGUUGUGGAUUACUAAAGAUUCUGUACAAAUCCGUACUAUUCUCAUGACCGGUAAUUAUGUUCUGUAGCAUAGCAUAGGAUACUUCAAUUUCUUAGAGAUUUAAUUGUAAAUUUAAUUGUAAAGAGGCUAAUGCUCUCAUAUCCCGUAACAUGAAAAAGAGUUUCUCUUCAGUCCAUUAUCUCACAAUUGUUAUCAUAGUCUUUUAUGGCUUUUGGCUUUCUAACAAUUGUUAUCCAUUGGAUUUAAGUGGUAUAAAUAUGAGAAGUUAGGUUGUAAAGCGUCUAAAAUCAAAGUUUAAGGUACAAAUAGAAAUAAAUUGUAAAUUUGGGGUGCAAAGUGGAAUCAAUUCUUUCAUACACAUUUAAUUUUUCUCCUUCCCUAGAGUGUACAUAUGUACAUCACAAUAGUCCUGAUACCGUCCUCUAAAUUGGCUUUCUUUAAUGCUCCAACCAUAAGAAUCGUUUUUCUUCCCUUUCUCCUCUGAUUAAUCGCCACCUUAUAUUUCCAGGUUAAUAAAUUUGUUUGUGAGCGCACUUGAUCGGAGGUGGAGUGAAUGUGUGAUUGUGUUUCUGCUAAUUUGUAAAGGAACUGCGCGGAUCAAUUAAAGAAGGAGAAAUUAAGCAUAUGUACUUGGGGCCUGCAUUAAAUAUUCAAUUUCUUUUUUAACGCAAUAGUCAUUAAAAGAGCUGCACUUGAUUACACAUUCAUCGAACAAUUAAUUCCUGUAUUUGUGAAAGAUGGCACCGUUGUGAAGAAGCAUGUGUCAGAUUAAUUUGCCAUUAUGUACUUUGUUUUUCUCAUUUUAUGGAUGUCGUAAAUAAAUAAAUACAGUAUUUUCAGUCCAUUAACAUGAUGAAAACUGCAACGGGAAAGGACACUUUAAUCAAUAAAUAUGCGGUUCAACACUUCAACAACUUGAAUCUUGAAGGUUAAAAAAAAAAAAAAAAUCCCAUGCAAAUUUAGAACUUAUAGUAAAAUCUGUCUGGUCAAAAAAGUUCUCUGUUAUUUUGAGACUGGAAUUUAUUUAGACAUGCGAUCAACGUUGUACAAUUACAGCGCUAAAUAUUUGAUCAUCCGAAAAUGAAUGAUUCUGCUGGUACUUGUGAUGACGGUGCUCCCGCCGGCGGAUUUGCUAUUGCUGCAUAAGGAGAUGGUCCUCCCACCGGAGUCGGUGGCUGGACCCCCCAGGGUGAUGGACCUGAUGGUCCUUGUACUGAUGGAGGCACUGGUGUUGUUACGGGUGAUGGUGAAGGUUUUGGAGGGUGGCGUUUGUGGCCGUGGUGUUUGUGACCAUGAUGGCGGUGGCCGUGGUGUUUGUGGCCAUGAUGGCGGCGGCCGUGGUGGUGGUGGUCAUGUGGUCUUGGUGCAUCUGCGGCUGGUGGCUCUGAUGAAUCAAGAUUAAACUGCCCGUCAUUAGACCCUUCUUCUGAAGGAUCUAGCCGCAGUUCAUCAUCAGAUUCUGAAAAUUCAUGUGAAUUGUCGGAAUCAGUAUUUGGCUCAGGUCGAGCUUUUGAAUUGGUGAUGAGUGCCACAACUAAGAAGAACACUAGCAAGUGUUUGAUAGACAUGGCUGCAGGUGAAUUUCUUGUCAAUGUGCAUCCAAGACUGAAGAGAGCAGAUUGUUUUAUAGUAAAACAUUGGCAGGAAUCCCCAUUCAUUUCUCGACCUUUGUGCUGUAACUCCUUGUAUCCAGUGAUUUCCUUCCUUAUUAAUCUACAAUAAAACAGGAGGGAUUUAAUUGACUUGGUUGACAAUUGUAGCCUCCCCUUUAUCUUUUAGCAAUAAAUGCCACGCGCUUGAAAAAAAUUAUGAAAUUACUUGCCAUGGUAGAAAGCUUCUUUAGGGAAAGUAAUAAAAACCACCGGGCCAAAAGCCGGUGACCACUAGGGAUGUAAUCGAAUCGAGCUGCUCGCGAGAAGCUCGAGUUCGAGUCGAGUUCGAGCAUCCAGAAGCGAUGCUCGAAGGUUCAACGAGCCUUAUCGAGCAUUUUAAUUUUAAUUAUUUAAUAUUUUUAAUUUUAAUUAUUUAAUAUAUUAUUAUAAAAUUACCCUUAUACCCAAAAGAAUUGUCGAAUUUACGAAAUGUUUCAAGUCAUAUAAAAAUUUUAAAAGGGCAAUAAUGUCUUUUUGCUUAAAAAAUAUUAAGAAAAUAAAAUUUAAUAACUCGAGCUCGAACGAGCUCGAGCGAACUCGAUAAGGCUCGAAUGGACUCGAGCCCAUGCGAGUCGAGCUCGAGUACUGUGAGCAAGCUUCGAGCUCGAGCUCGAGCUCGAACUCCAAUAAUACUACUCGCUCGAGCUCGAGCACCCUAACUGUAUGUCGAGUCGAGCUCGAGUAUGACGAUACUCGAGCUCUACUCGACUCGAUUACAACCCUAGUGACCACCACCAAUGCAUUAAAACUUGAUGCUUUUCUCCCACCAAUUUGUCACAUAAAAAAAUGUGGUUUUGCUUAAAAAAUUUAGGCGGGUGCAUAGUGCACCUGUCUGAUUCGGUGGUGGUUCGAUCCCCUCCGAAUUAUCCUUGGAUAUCUUCAGAUCCUUCCCCUCCCCCCUAGUGUAGGAUAAUCUAUCGUAUCAACAAAAAAGAAAAGAAAGUAAUAAAGCUUUUUUAUUCCUUUCCUUUUUUUUGGGCGGUCAAUUUAAUUAAUGGGUUUUUCUAACGGUUAUUCAUCUAACAACUAUUAUCCUAAUAUUCACCUAAUCUACUUUGUACAUACAUAUAUUAAUAAUUAUUAUCUUCUCUUGCAUUUAUAUACUUUCCUUAUUUAAUUUUGCCUACCUGUAUUUAUUUACUUUUCUUAAUUAAUAUUAUAUUUUCAAAAAUAUAACAUUUGAAAUAUAUUUUAGCGAGUGCCCAUAGGCAAUAUUAUAAGACCAAGUUGGGGCAAAAGCGUAACUCUAUAUAAAUCCAUCAUUGUGAUUUUGAAUUGUAAAGUAAAUUCUAAAUGUGAUUAUAGUUUAGACAAAAUAGUGUCCGAAUUAUUCUACACGUUAUUGAGUUAGUAUUUAUGACCACCUGAGUUUUUUUUCUUUUUUUUUUAAUAAAUUGUGAUUUCAUUUGCACAAUUACUAAACUAUCCCCCAACAUUUUCAAUUGUUGUCGUCUCUGAAUUUCUUCCUUGUCUUUUUUUUAAUAUAUUUUUUAAAUAUGUCUCUAUAGUCGAAUCCUUGAUCUCUUAUAAAGUAGUAGAUAAUCGUCCAGGAUUGAUCAACCAUUGAAAGUUAGAUUAGUAUUGUAGUUAUGUAAGCUUAAUUUAUCAAUCAUCCGUUGACUAUGCGAUCACAAAAUAAUCACAUCCUCAGAUGUAAAAUUUUAUCUCUAAUUUGGAAGUACAAUUGGAUGAUGUGGUUAACCUUAGCCAUAUGGUCUGUGGAAGACAUAGUAGACUAUUAUGUGAAAAUUAUAAAAGUAAGAGGAAAAUAUUGAAACCUGGUUCAAGAGAUAGGAGGAUAUCAGACAAUUAAUCAAGUUUUAUCUUGCAAUUAAGUUGAACAUUAUAAAACGAAAAACAAUAAGAUUAUAUAAUUCCGCGAAUAUUUUGACAUUUAUAUUUGAAUGUAACCACGGAUAGAAAUUGUCAUACAACUCGAAAAUGCUCAACGCUGAUAGGUGAUCUUAUUGGUGCAUAUUUCGGAGGUGCUCUCUAUCUUUUGUCAGGCCGCCCGCCGCCGGCCCGUAAACGCUAGUUUUUCUCCUUGUGGUGGUUUUGCUCCUAGCGAAGUUGGUGGUAAUGACGAAAUUGGCGGUACCACAACUGGGACAGGAGCAAAUGAUACCGAUGUUUCCGAUUGUCGUGGAGCUUGUGAUGGAGAUGGUGCUCCCAAGCUUUCGCCGGGCUGCCUGCCAGGAGACCCUGGUUUAUCUUCUCCUUGCGGUGGUUUUGCUCCGAACAAAGGUGGCGGUGAUGACGAAAUUGGUGGUAUCACAACUGCGAGAGGAGGUAUUGAUUCUGGUGGUUCCGGUUGUCGCGGAGCUUGUGAGGGAGAUGGUGCUUUAGGUGGUUGGGGUGGUGGUUUAGGGCGCUUGUGAGGGAGGCAGUUGACAUUCGGCUUAUUAUGAUCGCUUCUUUUUAAGGGUUGUAGCCAAUCUUGGCCAACACAAAACGGAACAAACAGAUCACCAUCGUUUUCUUGAUCCCUUGGCUCAGGUCGAGCAGCCAAGCAAUCAAUGGUCAAAAAUACAAGUGCAAAGAAGAACACUAGCAGGAAUUUAGCAGACAUGGCUUGUUGAUUUCUAGUGAAUGUUUGGUGGUGGAGAUUGCAGAAGGAAAGGUGAUGGAUUUAUAGUGGAGUGAGUCGAGUAUAUUUUUUCUUUUUUCUUUUUUGAAGAAAUUUGUUGUAACGCUUCAAAUUGUGAUGGCAUACUCAAAACAUCAUAUUUGUCUGUAAAUCUUAGAAUAAUCCAAGAAAAAGUUAAUUGGUUUAAUUUACCAUUAUAGAUUUUGGUUUUUUGUAACUAAUGGUUAGGUGUAGCUUAAAUGCCAUGUAACUUGCUUCCAAUUUUCGGUGAAUCCAAAUGCAAAACCAGAAGUAUUUUGAAAAUGAUCGAAGAGGAUGUACGUGAAGUAUCUAAUUCAACAGCACCUUUGCACAUGAGACAAGACUGACAAACCAAAAUUGCAAUUGGAACUACAAUUAUGCCCCGAUAAUUUGAAUUGCCAAGCCUAGAACUGAAUUUCAAAGAGAUGAGAGAAUUAGACUCAGCCGAUUUGGUUAUUAAUUAUUUUUAAUUUUAAUUAAAUCAUCCUUGCAGCUGCAAAGGUGACUCAAUCGUUUGGAAGAGCAUCGUGCUAUGAGCAUGGAAAAUGAAUAGGCUUCAAGCUUAAAAUGAUUUUGGCAAAUCAUGUAUGUAUGAAUACAGGUAUAAGAAGCUCAAGCAGCUCCAAGAACGAUCAAGAUCAAUAUAUGCCUUGCGUGCUAAGGGCGGGCUAAUUAAUAUGUUAAAAGACCGAAAAAAGCCAUAAUCAUUGCAGCUACAAAAAAGGAGUGAAAACAGUGUGCUUGGAUGGGAGAUUAUUUUGAAAUUUUUUUUGGAAUAACUUUUUUUUUUUAAAUAACACUGCAUGUUAGUUUUACUUUCUGGAAAAUUUUAACAUUAACUUGGUGUCUUUUUAAGGAUAAAUUACAUUUUAUUCUGUUGUGGUUUAGAAUUUUUCCACAUAAGUCUCGGAUAUACAUAUAAUUAUAAAAAUUAUACAUCACCCUUGAAUUUUGAGCUAAAGUAUAUAUAGGGUUGAAAGAUGAACUAAGCUACUCCAUACUCGAAUCGAGUUGAUUUUGGUAAAAACUCGUUCAAACCUGUGUUUUCAGGCUCGGACCGGACCGGCCGGUCGGACCGGGAACCGGGCAGGCAUCCGGUCCGAGCUAGCUAAAAAACUCGGCUGUUAAAAAAUCGGUCAAACUCGGUCAUAACUCGGGUUGGACCGGUGAACCGGAAUUUUUGAUUAACUCCGAUUUUUUAUUUUUUUUCCAUUUUCGGCCUUUUUUUGGGUCAGACUUUGACAAAUUGACCAACUAAAAACGCUAAAAAUUGACUGAAAAAAUAGAGCAAAAUUGACAAAAGCUUUCGUGAGCUUCUGUUUGAGUCAAUUGAGUGUUUCUUCUUCAGCCGAUAGGCGAUAACCUCGCCGAUAGCCGUUCAGCCACCACCGCCGCUCUUGAGAUCCAUCGCCGAUCUCUGGCCUCCAUCACUCUUGAGAUCCACAGCCUUCAAUCGCUGGCCUCCGCCGCCGCAACACCACCAGUUCGUUCAGAUUUCAAGAGAAGCAAGUAGUUAGCAAGCGGGUGAACUGAAGCUAAAGCCUAAAUCUGGUAAUUUUUACAAUCUGAAGGCUAUUAUUGCUGAUUUGUUAUGCUAAAGUUGAUAUGUGGCUGGAAUUUUUUGAUUCAUUAUGCUGGGCCUUCGGGAUUGGAUUUUGCGGGUGUGAAACUAAUACGAAGGCCACAACUGUUGUGCUCUGUUCUCAGUUCUCUCCCUUUCUUUUAUGCACGUUUCUCCCUUUCCAGCUAACUGAAUCACCUAUAUGAAAGACAAAUGUAUCAGUUUGCAAAUUUAUUGUUGCCCGAAUAUGAUGCCUGUGAUUUUUCAAAAACUUUACUAUUAUGGCGUAUGUUAAAAACUUUCUACCAUUUUUACAUGGAUGAAAUGGAUGAGGAUUACAUGGAAGGGAUGAAAUGGAUGAGGAUUACUUUGAAUGGAAGAUGAUUUUGAGAGGACAGACAAGUAUGAUAAACCUCCAGGUCUUAUAAUUUAGCACCGCCAAUCAUAUGCACAUUUUAAGAGCUAGACCUUCUCACAAUUCUUGCCACAUUUUAAUGGCUCCGUGAUUUAGAGAUCAGGUUCGACCCCCUCAAAUUCUUGUAAUUUUUAAUUUUAGUUGCAUGAAUAAAUUAAAGGGUCGGCAUUCCUCUCCUGUAUGAGGUUUGCCAUUAAAAAAAAACUAUUAUGUUAAAAAAAUGUGUAAUAGUAAUUAUGAUAAAUCUUGUUCUUAAAAUCAUAAACCUUGAUUUUAUUUAAUUAAUAUCUUAUCUGUUUAGAAAAAUAUGAAUGAGAAAUUGUUGAAUUUUGACAAGCUCAUUUUGGACCCUGAAGCCCAAUGAAAUAAAAGGGCCGAGUUUGAGCCAUAAUGUUUCAAAACCCAAAUCGAUUUAACCUGAAACUAGUUGUUAUGUUUUUCACUAAGUCUAAACUUGGCUACUUCAGAACCCAACCUAUUAGGCUCAAUUGACAUGCCUAAAGAUACGUUGUAUAUGGCAUUAGUGAAAUUUUCCUAAUUAAUCAGGUGACUCUGGUUGAAAAAGAUCCGGUGGAUUAUGAUCCGGUGGAUAUAAAAAGAGGUCUUAUGAUCCGGUGGAUUAUGAAACUAUUGAUAAAGUUUAAUUUUGGGUAAUUGAUGAGGAACAAGAAGGAGAGCUUGAUUAUGAUGAGUUAGAAGAAAUGAUUGAAGAAGAAUUUCCCAAAACUAGCGAGAAUGAAGCCUCUCAAUCACGUAAGUUUAUAUUUGCUAACUUUAUUUAAGUUUCUUUUUAAUUUGUGUCUAUUUUUGAAUAUUUUUAUUUAUGAGUAUUUAAAUGAUUUGUAGAUAAGAAAGACACAAAUAUUGUGCAACUUGAUGAUGAGGAUGAUGUUGAUGAUAUCGACUUCGAAAGUUAUGAAAUUGGAGAUAAGGAUGAUGAAAAUGAAGAUGAAGAAUGGCUUAGAUAGUUCUUUGGAACAUGGUGUUUUAUUUAGAUUGAUAUUAUCAAGCAUUUGAACAUGAACUUGUUACCUUAUUUGGAUUGCUAUUUGUUAAUGAUUGAACAUAUAUGGGAUUUCUAUUUUAUAAAUUUGUGAGUUUGGAUGAAUUUGGUGAAUUGUUUGAUGAAUUAGAUAUAAAUUUAGAUGACUGGGUUCUUUGGUUAUAUUUUGUAAAUUUGAUUUGCAGGUAUGUGUGUGUGUAUAUAAUAUAUAUAUAUAUAUAUAUAUAUAUAUAUAUGACGUAUAUAUGACGUCAUCCGAGUCGACCCCCUAUCGACUCCGGUCGAACCCAUUGACCCCUGACCCCCGACCUCUACCGAGUCGAGUCCCGGUCCGAGUUUGAAAACAUAGGUUCAAACUUGAUUUGCCAACUAGUCAAUCCAAACUUAAACAAUGUUUUAUGUUCAAUAACAUUCAAGUUUGAUAAAAAAAAAUUUCAUUCAAAUUCGAUUCAACAAAUAAUCGAGCCAAGUUUGAACGAAAUUUCAAACAUGUUAAAAUAAUCAAACAAGUUUGAAUACUAGGGUGUUCGGUUUGAUUAGAUUCAUUUACACCUCUAAAUACAUUGUUGCCCCUUCUACUAAAGUUAACUAUAAAAAAGGGUACAUUUGACAAAUGGCAUUCUUACUUGACUUUUUCUUUAUUUCCUUAAUUUCUUUUUUUUUCAAAUUUUUUUUCUAUAUUAGCACAUGUGUUUUCUUUUUUCUAUUUUUAUAAUUUUUCUCCUACGAUCAUGUGGAAAAAUGCCAAAUUAUAAAGGGUAACUUUUUUAACUUUUUUUUUUUUUGGUAAGUUACAAUGUGGAUGGUAAAUCCUUUUACCUCAUUUCAAAGAUAAGUAACGGAAAGGAACUAUUGGUCUCCUAUAUCAAUUACCCCCAUUACAACCAUCCACAAAACUAAAGAUCAUAGAGACAAAUUGGAAAAUUUGGCAAUGAAAUACGUUCGUUGGUAUUUGGGAGGAUAACCAAGAAUAUAAUAGGAAAAAACAAUGCCGACAUUCACACUAAUUCAGGAUAAUAUGGUACUACAUUACAUGUUUUUCCUUAAUACUACAUUACGUUAGUCUCAAUAAACUCAAUAUGAAAUUUGAUGAGUCGGAGAUAAAGGUCUAUCCUCAAAGGAAGGAAUAUGAAUAUUUUUCUAAAGAUAAAAUACAUUAUUUAAGAGCUAUUGAGAUAAGGAUUAUUUUGCAAAAUCUUGAAAAUACCCCCCAAACAAGGAUUUCGUUUACACACGAAAGAAAUUGAGUAUUUUCUUCAAUUAUAACUACAUAUAUAACUACAUAUGUAAGAAAGACCCCAAAAGCAGCAAUGAAUCAUCCAGCUACAUUGAUCAUGUAAAAAUUGCUGAGGUACAAGGCUUUUGCCUCUUCCUCUUAGUUCUACGCUCUUCCUCGACCUUCCAUGCUAAUUUCUGCAGAGGGCAGAUGAUUAUGGGGCGGUGCUAUAAGUUUCCUGCACCUCGUUCGACAUCUCAACGGCUAUUUCUUCUAAUCUAUCUGAAGGUGAUAGGGCGAAAUUGUGAUAGUUUUCUACUUCUUGAUCUGCGUCAAAAUUCCCUGUUCUUGAAGGUGCCAGGGAGUUUUCAUCUUGGUUCUCUUCGCCUCCGGAAGGUGACAGGGCGGAACCAGAAGACUUCUCCGCCAAUUCAUCGAUGGACUUUAUUUCUUCGGCAUCCAUCUUGCCUAAAGGUGAUGCGGCGAAAUCGCCAUAGUUCUCUGGCUUCUCUUCCGUGUCCAACAUUUCUGAAGGUGGCAGGCCUGCAUCAAAAAGUGUCUGCACCUCAUUGUCAAUUUCCAGCAAUCCUGAAGGAGAUAGGGCUUCAUCGAUAUAGUUCUUUACGUCUUCUUGUAUCUCAGCGGCCUGACCUUCCCCUACUUUGGAAGCUAAUGGGGCGAGAUGGCGCUUGAUUGCCUCUUCUUUCAAGGUAUCAAUUACAGCCUGAGCUUCCACAUAUAGUUGUUCAACAGGACUCAAUUCGGGGCUGUUAGACAGCAGCCGAGUAGAAGUUGAGGGAGUGGCUAGGACCACGAUGCCUAGCAACACCACUAGCAAGGACAUCUUAGACAUGGGAUUUUCGGAGAAUCAGCAACAAAUUUUUUUUUUUAUUUUGUCUUUUUCUUUUUUUUUUGGGGCGAUGUUGAAAGAAUGAGAUGGUGAAAGAAUGAGGGAAGAUUGGGUGCUUUUAUAGUUGAGUAUGUUUGUACAUUUUGAAACGAGUGUCAGCUAAGCUACUUUGCAUUGUUAAUGGUGGAAAUUGAUUUUCUCUCUGCGUAUAAAUUGCAUAACAAGCAACGUAUGACAUAGAAUUAGUGAAGAAUUUACUUAAUUUAUCGUACAGAAUUAACCAGCCGAGGAUUAUUUCUCUUGAUGGUGCUUAUGAGAGAUUAUACUGGCUGUUUUGUUACUUGUGGUGGUCUGGUUAGUGGUUAUGGAGAUGUUUGCGGUAUUGCCUCGAUAAUAUAGAGCGGUCCAUUCUUUUCUGUAACAAGUGAAUGUCGUGUAACUCAAAUUCUGUUGGCACGCAUCUACACACUACAGACCAUCAAUAGUGUAGACCGACCAACAGUACUCGAAGAAGUUGUUUAUUAGUAGUUAAAUUGAAAUUAGAUCUAUCAGGUUCAUCCAACGAAUUUGUGUCUAUAAUGUAAGAGUUACACAGAUUUAGAAUCAGCAAAUGAUAAUUUUUUUUCUAGGUAAAAUUUUAAAUUAAUCUCUGUUAUACUGACAGCGUAUAAGCUAUCGAAUUUGGAUGCAUGUUACUGUCAUCUUAAUUUAAAUUUGAAUUCUAAAUUUUUUAUGUGUAACAUCAUUCAGACCCGCUAAUAUAUACACUAUCAGUGUAACAAAAGAUUUAUCCUAUAAGUUUUUAUUUGUUUGCUUAUUUGUGAGCUCAGUGUAAUGAUUAACUUGCUUAAAAUUGGUUUAAUCAUGCAAUCCAAUGCUUUUAGUAUUGGCACGGUGAUUCUUUGAUCAACAUUCACGUUACUUUCAAGGGAAUUAGAGAAAGAGAAACCUACCUUUGAAUCAGAAGGACAACAUUUUUUUGUUGGAGGGAGGAAAACUACAACCUCUAGAUUAGAAGAGCACCCUCCUGGAGGUUCGAACUCUUAAUUUGCAAGGAUUACAUUUGAUGCUCUACCUGGUGGCCAUCUCAUCUGACGUGAGUUUGUUAACUAAAACACCAAUCAACGAGUUCAAUUUUUUCAUUUUCCUUGAUUGAAUCAUUGUCCAACUUCUUAGCACUCUAUGCACUCUCCUAGAGUUUUUGAGAUCAAGAAAUUCUAGAUGAAUACAUUAACUUUAAUUAGAUGCUCCAUUUCUGUAUGAGAAUUGUUGAUGAAAUGCAAGUUUAACGGUAACAAAAUGAAACUGAAAAAAAAAAAAUCAACAUAUGACUUGUUUGUUUAAUUGGGUUUUUUUUUUUUGUUUUGGGGGAGGAGGGGGGAAUUCUGAACAACUUAGAACGUAGCAAUUAGUUGGUGGUGCUCUUUUGUUUCGAAAACGCAGAAACAACCAAUUUGAUUGCCGCUGUACUUGUUACCUCUUCUGCGGAUAAAUUUAGUGUUUUAUCUGCAUUUUUGCUCGUAUAAAAAUUUGAUAAAAGGAAAAUAAAAGAACGACACAAUCUGGAUUUGUUUUACAUUAAGCUUUAUAUAAAGGAUAGCUACCAAAACCAAGAGAAGAAACUCUAUUAACAAGAAUCCUCGGAUAUGUUUCUAUGUUGUUCACACCAUAUUAUCCUCACCAAAUUCAUUAAAGAUACGAAACGAAAUGUUGAUAGAGUGGUAAGAACCACAACCCUAAGGAAUUGGACUAGCAGGGAUAGCAGACAAAAGGUCUUUUCUUAGAAUUCUAGGAGUUGUCUGCAGGCUUAUAAUCAGAAGUUGGUCCGAGCUCUUGAAUUGCUUUACCGAUGAAAACAAGGGAAAGGGUCCCCUUUGGUAGAUGCUUGUUUCAAGUGUCUGUACUCAUGAAAUUAAUUGUCAAUCCAUGCAUAAAUUACUUGCAAAUGCUUAUCAUAUAACUGAAACCUACUUGACUAAUGAAAACUCCCCUGACCAUGUUACAUCACCAACUGCAGAAAUCAGGAACUAUUCUGUUGCCUGUCAUGUAAUUGCCACAAAAUUUGAGACUGAAAUUCCUGAAACGAAUGAUUACUCAUUUAUUUUUUAAAGACGACAAUUACCCACCAAAGGCCAGGCAUCUGAAUCAUGCAAUAGACUAAUGGAAGCCAAAUGAAUUUGUGAACCAAACCUCACAUAUAAUUACACGUACAUUGUCCUCAAUAAGUCCAAAAAGGAUGGAGAAUAAUGUAGACAAUCAAACUGUUCUGACAAUGAUAUUGUACAGCAUCAUCCUUAACAAAUCCCAAAAAGAGAUUAAUAAAGAACUAAUUAUUCUAGCUAUAUUUGAUCAUGUAAUUAGUGCUGAGGUAAAUGGCGUUUGCCUCUUCCUCUUGGUUCUAUGCCUCUUUCCUCGAUCUUGCAUCCCAAACUCAUGGAGCUUUAUGUCUUCCCCUUUUAAAGAUCUGUCUGGGCGUCUGCGGCAAUAUCUUCUGCAGCAGCCUUUUCGUCUUCCAAUCUGUCCGCAGGUGACAGGGAGUAAAAAUGAUAUUUCUCUGCUUCAACAUCAAUACCCCAUUUUUUUUCUGGUUUCAGAGAUUCACCAUCUUGUUGGUUCUCCACCACUUUCUCCACCUCAACGCUUCCCGAAGCUGCUACGGUGGAAUCGCUCAGUGUCUCAGCCAAUACUUGUGGGGGACUGUUUUUGUCAAGAGAUUCUACUUCGCCAUCAAUGAUGUGGCCAUAGUUGUCCAGCUCACCCUCCGUCUGAGCGUCAUUGUAAGAAGGUGACAGGGUGAAAUCGCCAAAGUCCAAUACGUUCUCUUCAAUGCCCCAUGUUGCUGAAGGUGGGAGGGCAUCAAAAUACUUGCCCACCUCGGCAUCGACAUCUGUUGUUGCUGAAGGUGAAAGAGCUUCCUCCACAUAACUCCUCACCGCUGCAAGUACAGCACCAGCUUCAUCAUCCCAUUCUUUUGAAGCCAAUGGGGAAAGAUGGCGCUUGGCCGUUUCUCCAUUCAAGGUAUCAACCAUUGCCUCAGCUUGCACAUAUAGCUGUUCCAGAGCUUGAGGAUUGAAUUCAGGAUCAAAAAACAGAGGCCUAGACGUUGAGGGGGUGGCAAGGACCACAACCCCGAGGAACAUCACAAGUAAGGAGACAUUAGACAUGAUGGGUUAUUCCCUUCUUGAACUCUUGAAUCCUUUUUCUUGGUUCACGGAGAGAAUUCUUGAAUUCAAGAUUUUGUUGGUGAUGAUGAAAUGAGAUUGGAAUGGGGAUGAUUUUAUAGUUGUGUUCUUGUAUGCACAUUUUCAAGCUAGCUAAGGUUCUUUGAAUUGUUUAACGGUGGAGCUUGAUUUUCUUUCCGCGUACAGAACAAAAUUGCUUAAAACCAAGAAAUUCUCUGGCGCUGAUGCUGCUUCUAGAGAUGAUCUUACACUUGCAGGCCCGUUAAUGAUGGUGCUUCGUCUGUGCUGUUUGUUUUGGUGGUCUAAUUGUGGAGACGUUCGCGGAAAUGCCUCUGCCAAUAGAGUCGGUUCAUUCUAUUUUUGUAGCAAAUCAUGUGGUCCAUGGAUCACAUAAUAAUCUAAGAAGUUGUUGAUUAGGUAAUUUUUCAUAACUAAGAUCUUCUAGGAUUAUGUAAAGAAUCUAAAUACAUCUACUCCAAAUUGUAUUAAGUUUACUUUUUUUUUUCCCUCGUGUUUGUUCACAAUAAAUUAUCCAAUGUAAACGUACUUGUUGUUAUUUUUUGUAAAUUAACCACUAACAUUUGUAAACACAACUGAAGGUGGAAGUAAGUUGCACCCCAUUAUCAUUAAAAAAAAAAAGUCACUGCUGGAAUCUUUUUUGGGCACAAUGGGCUAGUUCUUAUUUGAUUGCUUCACUUAAUUUUAGAUUCUAAUUUUUAUUGGCUGUGUUUGUCUAAUGGGUUUCCAGUUUAAGAUGGAGUUCAUAUACUGAUAUUUUAAAAGAUUAAAGUUAAAUAGAAAAAAUAUAUUAUAAAUACGUCGUAGGGUAAUAAUUAUUAGUGUGUGCUUUCACAUGGUAAAUUAAGUGUAAUUUAGAGUAUAUUAAUAGUGCCCCAAUUUUUUAAAAAUAUAUAUAUUUUUUCAAUAAUCAAUUUUUUUUAUGGAUUUUUCUAAUAGACAUCCACUUAGAUAUAUUAAUCACGCUCAAUCUAUCACGUGAAUGCACAUAUUAUUCUCGCUUGCAUUUAUACGCGUCUACUUACUUUUCAACGAAUACUUGAUACUACACUUAAAUUAUGUCUAAUCACAUGCAUUAACGCUUUUUCAAAAUUAACUUCUAGGUCUUUUAAAAAAUUUAACAUUUCUCAAAACUAACUUCAUUUUUCCAAAAAAAAAAAAUUAACACCUAAUGUCUCUCCCAAGAAUGCUACUAGGCAUCCAAACCCUUUUUGAUAUUCUUAUUUUCUUUUGCAUCCAUAUUGAGCUUUUAGCUGCUUUUUUUGUGUUCCUCUAUAAUUACUUUCCCCAUUCAAGUCUCAUAAAAUGUAAAACAAACAAGAACCAGGCACGCAUGUGUAUCACUCCCUUUGAUGAAUAGCUUAUUUUUAAAAUUAUUAUCACUCCAUUUGAUGAAUAGUUGUCUUUCAAAUAAAAGCUGAACAAAUUAGAGAAACAAUAACAAUUAACCAAAUACUAAAACGAAACUGCAGAAUGAAAAUGAAACCAAUAUGUUAUGGACAAGAUUAUCUUUUCAUAAACACAUUUCCCAAUUAUCUUUUUACUUCACAUAUAUCAAAUCGCUACAAUACAUUUUUUUUUUAAAAAAAAAACAAAAAAAAAACUCCUAAAAAUGGCAAUCCAAGCUGUCUAAUGUAAACCCCAUCUACAAUCUGUACAAAGAAACCAAUAUGUUAUGGACAAGAUUAUCUUUACCUGCAGAAGAACUAUGCUUACUCCUGAAGUUAAAGUCAACACGAAAGCAAAAUGCAAGCGCUAAACAGAAUAAUCCAAAUCAUUCUAAUACAAAUCCUCAAACUCCUGUCCCUUUAUUAAGUUCAGAUCUGACUGUUGUAUGCAUAUAACCUGUACAUCUGAUCUCCCAGUUGCAUUGAUAUUAAGCUUCUAAACCGCUGUUGACUUGUUCCUUGUUCUAGAAGAGAUAGGCUCAUCACCUCCUCCAACUGCAGCAGGCUCAAAGCCGCCGCUCUUUGAGAAUUGUGUAGCAGCUGCACGGGCACCAGCAACUGCUGCAGUAAGACUCUCUGAUUUCUCCACUUUAGGCAUGCCAGAGCCCUUAAAUGUGGAAACAAGUGAUCCUGGCUUCAAAGAGAAUGGAUCUCGCGGAUCUGGAAGGGGAAAUUUAACUGGCCUUGGCACCCUAACUGGAGAAAGACCUCUAGCAGCAGCUUCAUGUAUCUUCAGAAAAUGUACAAGCGUAAACAAAUGCAAAUGCAAUAAUGCAUAAAAGAAACUAGUUACAUCCAUACGCAUUGAAGAAAGAAACAGGUGGGUAACUGAAUAUGUACUCUGUAAGAAAUAUGGGAAUAAACCAAAACAUCCAAUAGAUAUGCCAUUUACCUUAUGCUCCAAAUUAUAAACUCCUUGGAAGCCUCGCAUCUCAAAAGGAACUAUGAGUUUCUGCACUAUGCCAAGAUGAGAUUAUACAUUUGAUAGAGAACAAGCAUGCCAAAACCCUGUAAUCUUACCAAGAAUGAAAAAUAAAACAUUCAAAUAAAAAAAAAAGAAAAAAAAAGAGCUGUAUGAACCACACAAACCUGAGGUUGCUCACAAAGCCAACAAAAAUCAGUUUGCCCUUCUAGCUGCACCUGUAAAACAAGGAUGUAUUACCAGGAAAGACACCAGCACAGACUACCAAUGGUGAACACCUAGAGGAGCUGCAAUGUCGACAAUAAACGUGAAGAAAGAGAGACAAGAUAUCAAAGUGGCUUACCCCUCCAGGAACCUCCUCCCAGUUUACUAGUUCUUCACGAGUAACGCAUCCAACCACCUCAACACAACCUGUGCAAUAGUUCACUCUCCAGGUUAGCUGUACUAUUAUAGUUCCUCAUUUUCUUCAACAGGACAAAGAGGUUUCUUCAUUUCAGAAGAGCUAUAGAAAAGAGUUAUGACAAAAACGAAACUCAAUGCCCCACAGUCAAGGAAACCUAAAGAAGACAGUUUCCACCACAUAGCAAAAGUCAUAGACAACGUCCAUAAAGGGUAGAGAAGAUCAUAGAAAAGCAACUUGGAUCUAGUUUGACAAGGGCCUUUUGCAGCCCCUCAGCUCCUCUGUUUCCCCUUUCUCAAUGAAUAAAACCUAUCUAUGAGAAGAUAAGAAAACACAAAAUCACGACAUGACCAAACUACAACAGCCUCAGCAUUAACCUUAUGUCACCCCUUCUUCCACCCAAGACUAAUUCUCUUUUUUUCACAAUGUGUAGUGGACCAUGCAUCACAAAAAAGAUAACCUAAAUACACAGGCAUCCACAACUGUACUAGAGAUGAGUCAUGCUUGAACUACGUAGGUCAUGAUAAGGGUAAAGGCAAGUUAUCAAAUCUUGACCAGUACUUCUGUGAUCCAACUUGAAUUCCCCAGUCAAUAUAAAAUGUGCAAAUACAUAUAUUCAACUGCCUUUAGGCCUUGACCAUUAAUCUGCAAAAUUAGGGCCAUUCUCCUGAUACUAAACAAGUUAUCGUAUACAAAGUCAUUGAACACAAUGGAAUGGCAACAAAAAUUGCUGACAGACAACAGGACCUCAUCUUAGAUAUGACUAGGGUUUGCCCUCAAACUGCUAAUUAGUAACAUAAUGCUAUUCUUGAUACUACGUUUCGAACCAAAUCAUAUCCUAGUCACGGAACAUCUCAAAGUGAUUGAUCUAAAGGCCUCAUCCUGUGUUGGCUGAAGUUCAUGUGGGACAGAGUACGAGUGCUGAUAAGGAACUGAAGUCCAACCAAACUAGCAGAAAGAGGAAAAUUUUCUGAAAGGAGAUCCUUCACUAUUGAGCAAGAGAGCAAUACCCAUAUUUAAGAUCCCACUUUAGAUCUUAUAGUUACCCUUUCCUGCAAAUAUUUUGAAAAACACACAUAGUGCGCAUGGUGGAUUCAGAUCGAGUGGCUCCCUCAAGUUUCCAAAGUUAUCUUUUACUCUAUUGACUACAGAAGCCAAUAUUCCAACAUAUCCACUAAAGCAUAAUAAGGCACACCUGUGCAUUACUCCUUUCAAUUCUAGAACACAAAUUGGCACAUCCAAUAGCAUUAAUGGCAUAACAUGGUAUACUGCCAUGCAGGCAUAUAGAAAUUUGAUCAGGCAAUACAAAGUUAUAAACUGGUGUACAAAGUCAGGGGAGCUGUGGAACAAAUUACACCAAAAAAAAAAAGAAGCAUUUUCCCAACCAACACUUGGGCAUUUGAAACUUAAAAAUGCAGAUUUUCAUUAUACUAGUUUAAACAUAUGUAAAAAUAAUAAUAGUAAUAGUAAUAAAUAAUAAUAAUAAAUAUAUAGAUAAAUAAACAAAAACAAAGAGCAGAAGAUUAACAUUACUCCAGGAAGUAAUUGACAACCUAUCAAUCUUGAGGUUGGAUAAUGCUCUGGAAAUUUAAUAUCUGUAAUUCCAUCCACUGCAUAUAUUUCCCUGUAAAAAUCCUCCAUUGCUUGGAUCGUAGCUGGUUCUGGGAUCUUGCUAGCAGCAUGAAUCCAAAGUCGUCCUGAAUAAGAAAAGGGUAAACAUAUCACAACUAUCACUAUAGAAUCCAAUCUCAAAUCAUGCAAGUUGGAAAACAGGCAAUAAUUGCCUUUUUGGAACUUUUUAAAGCAACAAGAGUCCAAACUGGCUCUUCCCAAUCAUGACAGCAAACAUGUAGUGAGGAUUACAUCACAAUUGAAAACCACAAAAGUCCAAAUUUUUUCUUCUUCAAGACCAAGUCAACAAGAUAAGGCAGGCAAAUUCCAGGCCAACAACAUUGACCAAGGAAACAGCAUGUUUUCAGGUUUGAACAUUGAUAUGCUUCAAAAUCUGAGGAAAUUUUCCAGUAUUCCUAGAAGAACCAGUUGAUAACAGAAAAUUAGCAUGGUAGAGAAUAUCAGGAUACUUCUAAGCUUUCUCGGGUAUCAUCAGGAACAAUGACGCAAGGAGAAUACAAAUACAUUAGAGAAGGCUCAACUGUUUACUUCUUUUUGGAAGGUGUCUUCUCUAUUUUUGGAUUUGUUGUUUGACUUUCAGUAAACGUUCUACAUUUGGGAAGCUAGAAUCGAGCAAACACUCAUCUCCUAAACUGACAGUUGCUUCAUUUUAAAGGAACAGUUGAUCCAAGCGAGAACUUAAGUCAACCUUUAUGUUGGUUUUAGAAAUCUAUAUUAGGGUCAAAUAAAAGGACUUUGUACAGAAAAAAAAAAAAGGAGAAGCACAAGUGAAUUGGAGAAGGAUGCCCAAGCUUCUACAGCAGCUGUAAAUAGAAGGCAGUAAGCUAAUGGGCAUUGUCACAAGAUAGUCUGGCUGUCACAGAAUUAGUAUAGUCUCUACUCAUAUUUGGCAAAUCUCAGUAGACGAUAGGUGUUAUAACAAUAAGUACCAGGUUAAACUCUGCAAUAGUCACAUGUAGAAUGCUACUCUGAGAACAACUAUAAUGAAUCUUGUUUUGUAUUUAAUUUUACCCCACUCCCUUUCCCAAUCCAAGAAUUUCCUGAAGGUUGUCUGCCACCUAAAAAGACUUGGAAAAGAGAGAAACUCAGAACCUAUAUCUCCCCAGAAAAGAAAAUACAGUUCCAUUCAAAGUUAAAAUCAAAUAGGAAGCAUACUUUAAUAGCUGCCGUUAAAUGCAAGAUUGGUAAUCCAACAGAUUCUUUUGCAACUCCUUCACCAAUAAUGUCUAUAUCAGCUUUUUGUCCAAUUAGAGGUAAAAAGAACUGCCUUCUAAAGAAUAAACGACCAUGCACUCAUUCAGUCGUAAAAUAAACACUCAGCUCUUGGUGCCAACACUGAUGUCUAAAAUAGCUUUAACUAACAUCAUGUGCUGGUUCCCAAUUAGCAAUCCCCACUUCAGCACAUGUAUCAAUCAGAACUGCAACGUGUGGCAGAAGUACAGCAGGAUAUACAAAUUUUUAACCACAGCUAAAACAGUAAAAAAGUCCAAAGGUAGAAAUUCGGAUCACAAUGAAUCCAAAACCUAUUUCCAAUAAGUAUUCCAUCCAAAAUUUGGCUAACAUUUCCAUUACUGGGCCAUAAAGCAUACAUCUGUUUCCUUCCCCUAUUCCUCUUUUUACAAUAAAAACCUAAACUUGGAAUAAAAUUUCUAACAAUGCAAGCUAAAAAAUCACCUCCAACAUCAUUUAAGCUCCUAUAAAGGGUCUACUAUGAAGAUGGAACAGAAUAAAAACCAGAAUCACAAUCAAAAAGGGAGACUGGUCCCAAAUUCAUUGCCCCCAAAAAAAAAAAACACUUACAUGGCAAGUGAUAAAACAGACAAAAUAGAGAUUAUCGAAGUAAAAUAAAAAGUGAAACAUGGGCUUCGCAGCUCAGAAUCACAAUCAAAAAGAGAGAAUGGUCCCAAAUUCAUUGCCCCAAAACAAAAAAACACUUACAUGGCAAGUGAUAAAACAGACAAAAUAGAGAUUAUCAAAGUAAAAUAAAAAGUGAAACACGGGUUUCGCAGCUCAGAGAAAAAAGAAGCUACCCCGAAUAGGGGCAGGCCAAGAUCUUCCUUCAACACGUUUGUUCACUAGGGUUUGAUGGGUACUAGAGGCAGAAAUGAUAUCAAACCCUUGUGAACAAAAGGGUUGGUUCACAAGGGUUUGAUGGGUACAAGGGUUUGAUAUCAUUUCUGCCUCUGAUUCUUUCCCCUAUUCCUCUUUUUACAAUAAAAACCUAAACUUGGAAUAAAAUUUCUAACAAUGCAAGCUAAAAAAUCACCUCCAACAUCAUUUAAGCUCCUAUAAAGGGUCUAAUAUGAAGAUGGAACAAACUAAAAACUAGAAUCACAAUCAAAAAGAGAGAAUGGUCACAAAUUCAUUGCCCCAAAAAAAAAAAGCACUUACAUGGCAAGUGAUAAAACAGACAAAAUAGAGAUUAUCAAAGUAAAAUAAAAAGUGAAACAUGGGCUUUGCAGCUCAAAGAAAAAAGAAGCUACCUCGAAUAGGGGCAGGCCAAGAUCUUCCUUCAACACGUUUGAUGCCAUAAAUAAGCAAAGAAGCCCAUGGCUGAUGCAUUGUCAGACAUGGGUUUCUAUAGUUGAUAUCAUUUCUGCCUCUAGUACCCAUCAAACCCUUGUGAACACUGAUUGAUCCUAACGUCAGUCUGAGGAAAUUAAUAUAGAUUUCGUUUUCUUGGUUGGCGCUAAAGCAUAGAUUUUUUCAGUCCGCAAAAAGGAUUUGGAUUAGUGGGUAUUGGGUAAAAAAAAAUUCUUUACCUACAUGAACUAUCCGGAUGAUGUCCGGAGUACAAGGAUUUGGGAAAUUUAUUUAGAAAUUUUGAGACACGGGUGUGUGUCAAAGUUUUCCCAAGAAACUCAUCUCCUCGAGCAAUAGGUAAUUGUGAGAGCUCUAAAUAAAUAGUCUAAUUAGGGUUGCUAUCCAAUCAAGUUAAACUCAGCCAAAAAUAUUUGAAUUCGAGCUUGAGUUCAUCAAAUUUGUUAAAACUCGAGCAAAAAAAAUUUGAGUUCAAACUCGAAUUCGAAUUUAUUAAAUUUUUCAAAAAUUAAGUUUGAAUUCUAACCUAAGCUUAUUUUACUUUACUUGAACUCAACCAAAUCAAAUUCAAUUGAAUUUUUGAGUUUGAUUUUUUAGUAAAUUUCAUAAUCUUAUAAUAGAUAAUUUUUAAUUAUGUUAUAAAUACACUAUUCAAUAAGACUCAAUGAGCACUUGAAUUUUAAUUUUUUCUACUUGAACUUGAUUCGAUUACUUUAUCAAGUAACUCAAACUCGAUUCAAACUUGAUCAAUGUUAAAUUUGAAUCCAGCCUUUGAUUGAGUUACUUGUGAACAAUGUUUUGAAAUCCGAACUGUUAAUUGACUCGAAGAGAUGUUCAAGUCACAAUUCAACUAGUCGGACCGGUUCAACUCUAAUUCAAUGAAGUUUUUUUAAAAAUAAAUUAUAUAAGUAUAUGUGCAUAAAAUAAGACAUCCAAUGGACUAAUUUAAGACUUUAUCUAACAAAAAGUUUAAUAUUUUCAAAGAAGUUGGACUUUAUAAAUAAAUUUUUAAAUAAUAAGUUCAAACAAAUAAAUUCCAUAAUGAGAGAGGGUUGAAUUAUGUGGUACGGGAGAGGGAGUGUAAGUAAGAGCUUCUAGGUUUGAGAUCUCCCACGUACAAAAGAAAAACAAGAAUUAUUAAAAAAAGAUUUACUCUUUAUUAAAAAAAAUAAAUUCUAUCUCAAAUGUUUCUACCAAAAAAUAAUCUUAAAUCCUACCCAAAAAUACCACAAUAUUUUGAAAUUAAACAAAAUUCAUGUCUUUAGGAAAUAGAUAUUGUGAGUUUAAACUUUAAACCAUUUCUUCGGAAAUUAAAGAUUGCAAUUUUUUUUUAAAAAAAAAAAAGAAAUUUGAAGCCUUAAGGAAGUCAGGAAACUAGAAGGUAGGCAUGAAAAAUUGAUAAGAGGUAAAAGAUGAGAAGAAAGUGAAUUGAUGUGGUACUUAGUGAUUAGUCUUUAGGAUUAAAAAGAAUAUAUUCUCUUUUUUUUCAGUUUAAUAUACAAAAACAAAAAAAUUGCUGGUUCAGUAGUUCAUUCGGGUUUAAACAAUUUACACGGUUUAUAUGAUUCUCAUCGGUUCUUAAGUCUAAGCAAAUCCAAAGUAUGAAUUAGCCUAGAACCAUGCCUAGUUCAUGGUCGGACCAAUAACCGGUCGGUCCCAACCUAGGUUUCAAAACAAUACUUGCGAGCCCAAAUCAAAUAACUUGAUUAAUUUAUAACUUCAAUUAGGAUGGGGGAGGAGAAAUCCAUCUCUGUAUAAGAUAAAGUUAACUACUAGUCUAUUACACAUGUCCUGAGAUUUUAGGGCAAAUAAAAAAAAAAUUGAACAAAGAAACAUGAUGCCUUACAAAGAAAAGAAUGAACUAAAAAUAUACUGCAUUUACUAAAUUCGUUUUUCAUUCUUUAAGAAUAAUUUUUAAAUAUAUCACUCUCUAGAAACUUUGUUUAAUAAGUUUCAUUAUUUGAAAUUUUUUUUCCAAGAAGAGACUCCAACCUUACACUUUUAAUACUUUCUUUGGAAUUCCUUUCCAUUUCCUUAGGAUUUUCCUUUGUUAACCAAACAGGAAAAAGCAUUAGGGUUUCCAAAGGAAUUCACUCAGCAUUUUUCACUUUCCUUUCGUCGGGCAACGGGAAGAGGGAAUACUUCCACCUGGUCCAGGGGCUUAAACCCAACGUAGAUAGUCACGUCAGAUUCCAUAUUCCAACAUGGACUAUGACAAAAGAGAUUCUUGGACCGUAGGGAGUGGACUUCUCGCUUAAAAUCUAACAGCCCAUAAGAAUCUUUUCUUCUGUCCAUUUGGACACACAUACGUAGAUUCGGAGUUGUCGACUAAAAUUAAGGUUCCAAAAAUUAGAAGGUAUGAAUUCUAAUUUCUCGAUUCCCUCUUCGAUUCUUAAGUUCCACACCCCCUUUUAUUUAAAAAAAAAUACAAAAAAAGGUAAAUUCAGAGUAAGAAUUUAAUAAAAUUUCAUUUUGUGCCAAUAUAAAUACGAUAACUCAUAUGAACAUUUUAAUUUUGCUUUUUUUAAGUAUGGAAGUUUGGAUUUUGUGCAUAUUGCACAUUUUUCGUACUAUUAUUUAUUGUGAGUAAAUGCUUUAUCAUUAAGUCCUCGCAGCUAGUUCGAUUGGUUCCAUAAUCUGAUAGUUACUAGUAAAUUCCGUAAUCGACUCUCGUGUGCUAUCUAACUGUGUAUCCUUGAAACAAGACAUCACACAAUUUUAGGAGAUCAGUCUGGUCGAAAGAUUGGAAUACUCCUAAAUAAAUAAAUAAAAAAAAGCUUUAUCACUACCUCAUAUCCAUACUUGGCGUGUUCACCUCAGCCCAAGAUGCGCGAAGAAUUAACGCUUUAUUAUGACAACAAAUUCUAGGAAUUUGAUCAUGCGAGCAAAUUCUCAAUUCGGUCUAAUUCAUGCCUAAUUGGAAUCCUUUUAAACUCAGGUUAAAGAAAAUAUAUCCACACCAGUGCCUACCAUAAUUGCCAACAUCAAUCUCAACAAUACAAAAAGGAAAGAGAAAAAGAAAAAGAAAAAUCCCAUUGUUAUUCGAAGAAGAAAAUACCAGUAGCAGUCAAGUAACUAAAGAAAGGAUACAUUACUAAUAAAUUGCCUAUGGUAUUGCAUAUUGCUAUAUAAUCCUUUUGACGUUUUAAAAUAUUUAUGUUAGCCCCUUUAGUUUUAUGUAAAGUACCUGAACGCACUUCAAAAUGUGUGAUGAGAUUGUAAUAUCACUUGAUACACCUAAAUUCGAUACUAAGUGGAGAUUCUUAUUUUUUCUUAAAAAUCCCUUUUAAACUAUUAUUUUGGACCUAAACCGUCGCAUAUUUUAAGUCUAAUUUUAGACCCUUUUUCUUUAAUUUAUUCUAUCUCUAAAAUAAAAAAAAACACAUUUUUUCGAUGGGAUAAAAUCCAAACCCAACAGUAUCCACUUAACCCUCCUAGUUUUGUAUGACUAUCCACUUAAAAAAAAAAAGUCCUCAAUAGUUUUGCAUAUAUCAAGGAUGUGCGAAGGAUUAGCUUUCCAACCCUCUGCAUGUAUAAUUAGGUGACUAGGCUAGUUACUGAGUACUUACUUGAAGAGAGUUGAAUUGUAGGGUAUUUGUUACCAACUCCUUUUAUAAAUUAAUUAUUUGAGAAAACAAAGAAUGGUGCAUACCAAUUUCAUCUUGCGAUCCACAUGGGAUAUGAUAAUUAACACAAUAACUAAUGAAAAAAGUCCAUUUACCCACAAAGAAUCUUCUCAAAGCAUAAAAAUUAAAUCACACUGAGGUUUAUUAUUCAAUCUCCAGCACAAUUCAAUAAAAUUAAAAAUUUUGAAUAUAAAGCACUUCCUUUACAAAAAUUUGUCCUCUACUACAAGACAAUGAAGACUGCAAUAAAAAGUUAAAAAUGCUCUUCAAUCAUCAGCAUUCUUAAUGGAAUGCUUUAAGUAAUCAAACGUUUUAAUAUUCAUCUUAUGUCUCACCUAUUUUCCUAAGAAUCAACACAAACUGUAAUGCAAACAAACCCCUCGCCUACAAACAAUCAUCCAAAACAAUACAUUUUCAUCAGAAUUCAUUGCCCAAUCUCUAAUACGACUCAAAUAAAAAAUUUUAAAAUUCAAAUGCUCAUUUCACAAAAUGCAUUCACUAAUAAAAGAUAAUGAACAAUAUAGUAAAAAGCUCAAUAUUCUUGAUUGAAUAUUUCUUAGCCAAGUAUGAAAUUUUAACAUUAGUUAUAAUUAAUUCAAUAGGAUAGAAUUUUACAUAUAGAGAAAAAAGUGAUAGACUAUUGGACAUUUUCAUAUAUUCUAGAUUAAUUAAAUUCUAUAUUGAAUAAAUCUUGUAAAAGUUAUAACCUUCCGCAAUUUGCUCACUGAAUUGCUUAAUUGUCUCUAAAAGAUGGCAGGGGACAUACAUGUCACAUGUGGUGGCUUGGGUACCAAGGUGUUUUCAAAAAUUCUAACCUGUUUGAAAUAAUUACCGUAACACUUUUUAUGACGUGAUGUAUGCGAGAUAAAAAAGCGAAUUGAAAAAUGUGUUUAUGAUGCAAGCAAAAUUUUUUUUUUUUGAAAAAAUUGGCCAUCCAAACAUAGAGACAUUUAUUGUAACAAACGACUUUACAAAGACAGGCUUGUGUCAACUUUUCACAUUCUAGAAAGACACAUCGGGAAAAAAAUAAGAAGUUUCAAACGUUAGAGUCAUCGGGUCAUACAUAAUAUGCCAAACUACAUGGAGUCUGCAGUAAUUUAUCCCUUAGAGCAAAAACCUUACCAGUUCUGACAGGGGUUUACACUCCAGUUUCUACUUUCUACACAAUAGAUCUGACAGGGUCGUGGUUUACCAGUUCUAAACGUCCCUCCCAAACAAAUUUAUGGUCAAUACGGACCAAAAAGCCUAAUUUCAAGUUGUAAUGGAUUGUUAUUAUUCUCUGUAGUGCACCACCUCCUUUCACAUGUUAGCAAAGACUGCAUGCCAAAGUUAAAAGUUUAUUUAUAAUGGUGUACAAUUCCUACACUGAGGUGUACAUCGUCGGGAACAAUAACUAGCGUACUCGUGGCUCACCCCACCACAAGCCCAAUUCCCUGGUCCUAUUUGUCACUGACGUGGGUCGUUCUCUCAGCUCCCCACCGGUCCCCGUCUCACUCUAUUUGCUUUUCAUCUUCACACAGUCACGCACCAGAUAAACACGAAUGUUCGUUCAUUCACCAAAAAGAAAAGAUAAAAAAAAAGAAAUGGCCAAUGCUCUAAGCUAAAGAAAGUCGCUAUAAAGUCUUCUUCUUUCACUUAUAAACCCUCUCCUUUUGCUCCGCCCCUGGAGAAAAUGCUAACCAGACAAGAAUUCCAUCAAAUUCCGCCAACCCACUUCACUUUAUCCCAUUUCCUCCCAUGCCUUUUCUUUAUCUUCUGAUUCGUGAUCGAGACAAUUCGAAUCUUGAUAAAUACUAGUUAACUUUAGUUCAUUUUUUGGUAGAUUGUGAGUUCUUUGGCGCAUGAAGAUUUGAGUAAGGAAAGAUGGAUGCUUUGGCUGUUGAUGAUAUAAUUAACCGUUUGCUUGAGGUUAGAGGAAGGCCAGGGAAACAAGUGCAGCUUUCGGAAUCAGAAAUUAGACAUCUUUGUUUAAGGUCGAAGGAAAUCUUUAUGGCACAGCCUAAUCUCCUUGAGCUUGCAGCUCCAAUCAAGAUCUGUGGUAAUGUUUCUUUUCUCUAAUAUCGGAGGGGUUACUUUGAGAAGGUUUUGUUUAUUUCCCAUUUUGGUAGUCUCGGUUGCCUUAUUGUGUUCUUGAAGUGGGUCUUGGUUUGGUUUAUGAUUGAGUUGAUUAAUGGUUAAAUUAAGUGUAUUCUGAGCAGGGUUCGAAUAGUGAAGUUUUAGUCUGCUUGUUUUAGAAAAGUUUUGAGUUGGGUAUCGUUAAUAUGAGUGAUUUUGCUUGGGGUGGUUGGUUCUCACCUCUCUCCCCGACUAACUGUAUUCCAUGUGAACUUUUUUUUUUUUUAUAUGUAAUUAUUGGUUGUAGACUUCAUGUAUAGCUACCUCAGAUUGUAAAUUGAAUGCGAAGUCCCCGAUUGGACAUAGGUGAUUGCAGUUACUGAUUUAGAUUAUAGUCCAGAAGAUGAUGAAGAUAGUGGUUGAAAUGAUAAUGUGCUUAUGGUGUGUCAAAGGGAUGUUCUCUUGUUUAAGUGAAAUAGACGAUUAUGGUCAAUGUUCAUCAAUUUCGCAAAUGGAGCAUUAUCUAAAGUGCUGUUUAUGUUGAUUUGGAAUCUAGCUGAUGAUUGCCAGUGCGCAUAAUAUGUGUUCCUAUUGUUUUUGGGUUGCAGAGUGAAUCUUGUCAUUGAUUGGCUGUGAUUAAUUGAAUUUCUGUUCUGCUGGCUUGGUGUUAGCUUUAAUCUUCAUUUGGGAACCCUUGCUGGCUUGGUGUUAGGUUUAGUCUUCAUUUGUAAUUUAUUAUGGAAUUUAAGCACUGAAUGCAGCAAGUCAGGUGAUAUUCUGCUGAACCAACUGAUAUCACAAUUUGUUGGAAAAUAUUUGAGGAUCCAACAAAAUUAGUUAUUUAUUAUUGUUGGAAUAUUAGGGGCAUGUGUUUGUCUUUUUCCUGUAUGGCUUUUGUUGCCAGCAUUUAGUUUUUCAUUAGUUUGGAUAUGGAAGCAGAAAUGUUUUAGUCUUUCUCUUGUAAUUACAUAUCAAAAUGAAAUGCAUUUAAGGCAAUUUCACUAUCGUGAUUAUUGGAUACAUCAUGUCUAAA
rnacentral:lncRNA from 1 species